UUUCUCCCCAAAACCCCUAAAACCUAAAAUGAGUAACAGAUCUUCCCUUUCUCCCCAAAACCCCUAAAACCUAAAAUAAGUAACAGACCUUCUUCUUCUUCUCGCCGUCGACCAACCAAUCCCGCCCAAUCUGUUUGCUUCUCGCCGUCGACCAACCAAUCUCGCCCAAUCUGUUUCCUUCUUCUUCUCGCCGUCGACCACCGUUCUCGUCAUCACUGUGACCAGCGUGCAUCAUCGGAACGUUUCUCAUAGGAAGCCCCUAGGAAGAUGGCCCGUCUUUUAUUACGGCAUGGGACAUAUGCUUAAUGACAUAACUGCUGCUUGCUGGUUCACCUAUCUAUUACUGUUCUUGAGUGAUAUUGGACUUUCACCAAGGUGCAUUUUGUGAUCAACUUUUUGUAUUUAAUUUUUUUGCACAUUUUGUCAACUAGUGUAGGUAACUUUUAUGCAACUGCUUGUUAAUUGAUGUAACUGAAAAUUGAAAAGGAAGAUUUGUUAAAGUUUCCUGCU